ensembl:lncRNA
AGAACCGAAUGUGCCUAAGAGCUAUUAAGGCAGGCGCCGCGACGAUUGAACCUGCGCUCUGUGCCCGGAAACUGCAACUGCUGAGCCCGAGAACUGAAGCCGCUGAAACCUGCACAUGCUAGAGCCUGUGUACUCCUUAGCAAGAGAAGACCCUGCAGUGAGAAGCCCGUAUACCGCAACUAGGGAGCAGCCUCCGCUCAUGGCAGUUAGAGAAAACCCCACACGGCAGGGAAGACCCCGAACAGCCAAAAGGCUAGAAGGGAGUAUUGGGAGAAUCUGUGGCCAGCUUCUGGUAGACCUCUCUGUCCUUCAUUGUCAAAGCCAGAUGCCUGAGGAAUAAUGAGAGAAAAUACUGAAACAGCAGAAUGGAAAGAAAUCCCCCUCAAGCCCCAUCUGGAGCCCUUCCGUGCCUCUAUCCUCAGCCCACCCUGAUGUCUCCAGCUGUUGAACAAGUGUCAGCUUAUGUGCUGACAACUGAGCAUAGGAUUUGUUUUACAGUCCUGCUGUGCUUAAGCAAGAGCUGGAUGCUGGGCGAGAUGCAAAGCUGAUGAGAAAGGCUUCUGGUCCUCCAGGUACUGAGUGUCCAGUGGUGCUGUAGGACAUGCUUUGGAAGGGCAUCAAGAACGGUAAAACUUGUCAGUUAGAGUGAAUGUGACAUUUUAAAAUAACCCAAAGUUAGUGAGCAACAAACGCAGUGAUUAAUUCAGGUGACUAAACUAGGUACAGAAGGAUAGAGCAGCAUUCUAAACUAAAAUUACUGAGUCUGCCUUUUUUGAGUGAUUUGUAUAAUGACUCCAAAGGCAAUCCCAAAGGAACAGAUGCAUAAAAUAUUUUAGGAUUUUAAAAAAAUAAUCAUAUAACCUUCCAAAGUGAUUGGGUUCAAAGAUAAUUUUACUUAAAGGUAUUAGGUCCCAGAAUUUUUUCAAUGUAUCUCUAUAGAUCAUAAAUAGCUAGAUUAUACACAACUAAAGACAAGGACCAUGUCAGAUGCUUCUUCUAUUUUUGCUCAAAGUAUUUAGCAUGGUGCCAGGCAUAGUAAUAGAUGCUCAGUGAAACACUUAUUGUUGAUUGUUUUAAAUAAAUAAAUAAGUAAAAAUAGAUUAGCAGCUGAAGAAGACAUUUAUAAAAGUCAGAGUUCAAAUUUGUCAUAGUCUAAUAUUUUCUUGAUAUGUUUGAG